GGCGUCCGAGUUGUAAUUUGUAGAGGAUGCUAUUGGGUUGCCACCGGUCUAAGUUCCUUGGAACAGGACGUCACAGAGGGUGAGAAUCCCGUACGUGACCGGCCAGGCGCCCUCUGUAUAGCUCCUUCGACGAGUCGGGUUGUUUGGGAAUGCAGCCCUAAAUGGGAGGUAAAUUUCUUCUAAAGCUAAAUACCGGCCAGAGACCGAUAGCGCACAAGUAGAGUGAUCGAAAGAUGAAAAGCACUUUGGAAAGAGAGUUAAAAAGCACGUGAAAUUGUUGAAAGGGAAGCGCUUGCCAUCAGUCUCGACGGCGGCUGUUCGGCCUCUCUUCUGAGUGGUUUAUUCAGUCGCCGCCGGGCCAGCAUCAGUUUCGGCGGCCGGACAAAGGCGCGGGGAAUGUAGCUCCCUCGGGAGUGUUAUAGCCCCGCGUGCAAUACGGCCCGCCGGGACUGAGGUCCGCGCUUCGGCUAGGAUGCUGGCGAAAUGGUGGUAAGCGGCCCGUCUUGAAACACGGACCAAGGAGUCUAACAUCUACGCGAGUGUUUGGGUGUCAAACCCGUGCGCGCAAUGAAAGUGAACGGAGGUGGGAACCGCAAGGUGCACCAUCGACCGAUCCUGAUGUCUUCGGAUGGAUUUGAGUAAGAGCGUAGCUGUUGGGACCCGAAAGAUGGUGAACUAUGCCUGAAUAGGGUGAAGCCAGAGGAAACUCUGGUGGAGGCUCGCAGCGGUUCUGACG
rnacentral:rRNA from 1 species